GCAGUCGAACGGAAAGGCCUCAGCUUGCUGGGGUACUCGAGUGGCGAACGGGUGAGUAACACGUGGGUGAUCUGCCCUGCACUUUGGGAUAAGCUUGGGAAACUGGGUCUAAUACCGAAUAUGACCACUUCUUGGAUGUUGUGGUGGAAAGCUUUUGCGGUGUGGGAUGAGCCUGCGGCCUAUCAGCUUGUUGGUGGGGUAAUGGCCUACCAAGGCGGCGACGGGUAUCCGGCCUGAGAGGGUGUACGGACACAUUGGGACUGAGAUACGGCCCAGACUCCUACGGGAGGCAGCAGUGGGGAAUAUUGCACAAUGGGCGCAAGCCUGAUGCAGCGACGCCGCGUGGGGGAUGAAGGCCUUCGGGUUGUAAACUCCUUUCGCUAUCGACGAAGCCACUUGUGGUGACGGUAGGUAGAUAAGAAGCACCGGCUAACUACGUGCCAGCAGCCGCGGUAAUACGUAGGGUGCAAGCGUUGUCCGGAAUUACUGGGCGUAAAGAGCUCGUAGGUGGUUUGUCGCGUCGUCUGUGAAAUUCCGGGGCUUAACUUCGGGCGUGCAGGCGAUACGGGCAUAACUUGAGUGCUGUAGGGGAGACUGGAAUUCCUGGUGUAGCGGUGAAAUGCGCAGAUAUCAGGAGGAACACCGAUGGCGAAGGCAGGUCUCUGGGCAGUAACUGACGCUGAGGAGCGAAAGCAUGGGUAGCGAACAGGAUUAGAUACCCUGGUAGUCCAUGCCGUAAACGGUGGGCGCUAGGUGUAGGGGGCUUCCACGUCUUCUGUGCCGUAGCUAACGCAUUAAGCGCCCCGCCUGGGGAGUACGGCCGCAAGGCUAAAACUCAAAGGAAUUGACGGGGG
rnacentral:rRNA from 1 species